rnacentral:rRNA from 1 species
AUUGAACGCUGGCGGCAUGCCUUACACAUGCAAGUCGAACGGUAACAGGUCUUCGGAUGCUGACGAGUGGCGAACGGGUGAGUAAUACAUCGGAACGUGCCCGAGAGUGGGGGAUAACGAGGCGAAAGCUUUGCUAAUACCGCAUACGAUCCCAGGAUGAAAGCAGGGGACCGCAAGGCCUUGCGCUCACGGAGCGGCCGAUGGCAGAUUAGGCAGUUGGUGGGAUAAAAGCUUAACAAGCCGACGAUCUGUAGCUGGUCUGAGAGGACGACCAGCCACACUGGGACUGAGACACGGCCCAGACUCCUACGGGAGGCAGCAGUGGGGAAUUUUGGACAAUGGGCGCAAGCCUGAUCCAGCCAUGCCGCGUGCAGGAUGAAGGCCUUCGGGUUGUAAACUGCUUUUGUACGGAACGAAAAGACUCUGGUUAAUACCUGGGGUCCAUGACGGUACCGUAAGAAUAAGCACCGGCUAACUACGUGCCAGCAGCCGCCGUAACAC